ACGGCUUAUUGACUAUGGAAGGGUCCUUUCCAGCCAAGACCAGGUCCAAACAUUGUCUAGCCUCUUUGCUGACUUUUCCUAAAAUAGCUUCCAUCAUGAAUGCAGGAGGAACUAUCUAUUAGUAACAAAAUCAACAAGCCAAGAAAAAGAGAAGAAAAGAACUAAAAAAGCUGUGCAAUCUUGUCCUGAGAUACAGGACAACAGAGCAAAAUAGGAAUGAAAUACUUUAACAUCAAACUAACAUACAAAUCAAAGAUGGAGAUAGUAAACAAGAAGUAAGUGACAGAGAAAAGCAAGGAAUCAAGAACAUAUGUAAACUAGGACAUCAACAAGAAAACACAGAAAUAAACUCAACUAACUGGUCGAACACAAAAUAAAUCAAUACAGUAAUGAACAAUAAAUUCUAACUCUAAAGGACCAAUACAAUCAAACUGAAGAACUACACAUAACGAUUUGGAACUAGAAAAACUACACUACAAAUCAGAAAGAAACUGCUAAAGCUAGACAUAAACAUAAAUGAGCAAUAAACUUAUUAGGUUUUAAAGUAAUUACGUCUUACCAAAGAGCCGUGAAAAACCAAACCUAAUUGAGUGAAUGAAUGGCAAUUCCCAUUCAUUCACCCACACACAAACACCACGAACACUACACGUGCACAGCAACCAAGGAGCAACAGAGGAAGUCACACCUUGGUUCGAAAUUCCUGGGAGAUAAGAACGAGAGCAAACAAAAUGCAUCUGUUCUCAGCGAGCUCCAAAACAGAAACAAAAUCAGGUUCAGGAGGUCAGGUCGAACAAAUCCCAAGGCUUUUUUCCCUUAUGCACAUAUGGCUGUUGGCACAAUAGGCUUCAUUCAACAAUUGCAAGUAUUUGAUGGCAAAUAUAUGAUAAGUAGCAGAGAGUCUCGGCAAAAAACGCUCUGGAAUGUUUGAUCUUCAGGAUCACUUUCUUGCCAAUCUCAUUGUCUCGUUUUAAAAUGCCUGAAUGCAACAAGGUCAUAACAGAUUAAUGGGCCGAGAGAACCCCAAUUCAGUUGUAGAAGACAAAUAAAUUUUUCCAGACUCGCUGUUUGGGUCACCAUCAAAUGAUGAAAAAAGAGGUUCACUUCCUUGUGUGAUAAGCUCUGAACAAGAACUGUACAUGACCUCACCUUGACACUGAUCCAACAAGUAUCAAAUCUAAUCAAAGAAAAUAUUUUCACCCUCAAGGUUCUAGAGAUGUUCAGAUGGGUUGAAAUUGAUGGCUGGAACCUACUACAAGGCUACUUCAGUAAUCUCUUUCCAUAAGUUGUGAUUGAUUGAACACCUUCUUCACGUCUCUUACGUCUAGUUUGAAAACUUCAACAUUCACUUCAACUUGAUAACUUUAUCUGAUUCCAGCAAUUGCCUGCAAGGAAUGUAUUAGUUGACUCCGGCGGGUUGCCCAAACCAUCCUAAUCUUGACCCAAGUUCGUUAGACUGGCACCUGCUCUUCUCUCUCAAGAAACAGUAAUAUUCACUCCGGGCCCGGUUUUUCUGAGCUUUAAAUCGAUCGGGCUUCUGCUUUGGCAUGGUCUUGCUCUCUCUUUGGCAAGGGGUUUAUUCACGCAUGUUAAGAUACGAGUUUGUUACAAGCAAGGCUGGACAUGACAUCCGCUCUGAAUAUCUUCUUUAACUUAGUGAAGCCCCCUCGUUAGCUUCUUCCUCAUUGUGUGUUUUCAACCUAACAUCGUUGGUAGGUUCAUUGACUUUGGCAUUGAAUCGCUUGUUCAAGUCCACAAUAUUGGUCAUUGUCGUGUGUUGGUCAGGACAAUUGUUUGAAGCGGUUAGAUCCUCAGAAUAUAUCUUACAGAUGGUUAAGGGACUCACGGGACUCUAUGGACUUAUGGCACCAGUGGUAAAAUGGGUGCCAGCAGAAGCCUUGAUGCUUUCUCGCCUUUCCUAUGUUAUUCGUUGUCGUGUGAGCAUAUUUUCCACGGAUUCGAUUUCGAAAUGAUAGCGUAAAUCCCGGGGGAGGAUUGGCGAGCCUUUUUUUGGCUUAUAAAGGUCGGUAUCCGGACUUGUACUCUGGGGCUGAGCACAUGUCGACCAUCCCAAGAACAUGUUCACCCACGACAGUAACAAACCAAGAUUUCACAAUGAUCGAUUGAUCGUUUCAGACAAAAUGGUUGGAUUCACUUUCUGAGGCUUUUCUCCCUCGCUGUUUGUUAAAUAUGCUCUCUUCAUGUACAUCAGUUGCCGUUCCAGCUCUGGGGUGGCUGUCCAUGAUUGGAAGAAUUCUUGGGUCAGCUCAUGGAUACACUUAAAAGUGAAAUAGUCCGAUUUAAAUCGUCAAGUACUUCAACUAUGUCGGUUUCACCUUCUCCACCCAACUCUCCUUCAGCAAUCACCUCCAGUCCGCAAUACCAAGGCCAGGGCCAGGAUCGGAUACAUGUGCAGUAGACUUCCCAUCAAGAAUCUUCCCCUUCCAAUAGUUCUUCAACCCUUCCUGAAUUGGAUCAACCCAAUUUUGCUCUACAGCCUUCACCUUUGGCUUCCCAACUCCGCCCAAACUGUCCUCAAAUCUGCCGAUUCCACCUUCACCAAGUUCUUCAAACAAUACCUGUGUGUGCCCCAAUAUACCAACGAUGCAUGGACACAUUUUUUAUGUGAAACCGAGCCUCUCACCAUUGGACCGGCAAGGUUAGUUUCCAACAGGGCUGGGAACCUGACCUCUCAGGCGGUGAUGUCCGGGCACAAGUUGUCCUUCCCGGUCAAGGACUUGCUUACACCUGAUUGUCCUUGGCCCGACAUCCCUUUGGAUUAUUGUUGGUCACAUGCCUUUGUUUGGCUCCCAGCCUAAUGCCAUCGACGAUGGGAGCUGACAAAAGAUGUGUUAAAUCUGACCCACCCACACUACUGCAAUAACCAAGGUUUUCAUCAUUUACCUCUACCUAACUGUAGGUGGAAUUUUAAGUGUAUUAAUUCGAUAUGGUUAGUGUGCUUCAAGCAUAGUCGAUUCUAAUCGUUUUUGAAUUGGUACGUGACAUUCACAUUUUUGUUACGUAUUUACGAUAGUAGGACUUGAGUACACUCGAGUCCACUCGGAGUACACUUAAGUGUAUACUCAGGGUCCGUGAGUACACCUAUGUGCUGUACUCGGCUAUACUUGAACUCUCUUUUGGGCUUGCCCUGAAGUGUCUUUGUCCUCAGUGAACCUGUAAAGUGUAGAACCGGCCCAAGAUUGUCUUUGAUUAACACGGUUCGGUCAAACCACUCAAGUUUGUCAUCUUAUGCCGUACAUGUGUGAUAGCGCGGUUGUUGAUCUUUUAAGACAUAUGUAAUAUGAAAAGACGUCGUAAUCCAUCGCAAGUAGCUACUCCAGCCCUUCAUCAUAGAUGAACAAUGUCACAGGAAACGGUCGUAUCAAAAAUCAAUCUCUACGCCCUUCCUAUCACCAAGGAAAAGCUCCAGUACCCGAGGGGGUAGUCAGCCCAGCUAUAACCAGGGGUGAGGAAUGUCGGCUACAUGUUUAAAGGGCCGAGAAACAGAAAAUUCCGGUCUUCCACAACCGCUUUUCACAACCCUCUCAGAUCCAAUGAGGAAUGUGUUAGAACCGACAGUUACACAUCACCCUUCAAGAAGGACAGUGACAUUUUGGAUCUCGAGGAGAGAAGCUGUAAUUUGGAGCUCGAGGAGAGAAGUCAGGUUUUGAACCUCUCCGAGGACGAACCACCUGCCAUUGCUUAGUGCUGGGACUUUGCCAUUGUUGUGGUGCCAAGAAGUGGGAACCGUUUCGAAGGACAGAGAUCGUCAUCGUAUGGGAGUAGGAAACCCAGGAAGCCUUUCACAAGAGCAAGAGGACCUGGGAAGUGCCGAGUCUGUGUAAAGCACUUCGUCAUCACUCUGUUAGUGGACCUUCAAUCCCGUCGAGUGGACAUCAUCCGAGGAUCUCCAUUAGACCAUCACGCCAGACAUCGUGCAGUAAUUAUUAACCAAUUGUUUCACAUGUGAAUAUACCCUUUUCCAUUGGGCCAACAAUUCCCCCACUUUUCUUACCGGAGCUAGACAGCUGAUAGGCGGUGUGUUCUUUCAUGAAUAUAGUAGAUUGAAGUGUGCAGUUUGCCUUGAAGAGGGAGCUUGGAUUUCCCAGACGACCGAGAUCGUGCUGGCAUCGUAGGGAGUAGAGGUAGCAAGUGAUUUGUAUUCAACUGUAACCGAAGUUCAUCACUCUUGUAGCAGAAAUCAGUAGUUAGGCUCUAGAAAAGAGGUCUACUUUGAUAGACGCAUUUAGACUAGGAUAGCUAGCCUUGAAGAUUGGCCCAAGUGUAUGCCAUACAUCUGAGAUUGAUCUGGAACCGUGGGGAGUAGAAGUAGCUAGCGAUUUGUAUCCUUAGUCAAUUGAUGAUUGUUUGACGCCCUGAUAAAGGAAGCUCGAACUAUUGAUUGUGUGCCCUGAUUAGGGUUAAAACCGGAGGCCUUAAGAUAGGUCUAAGAAAUUGAAGCACAUAUACUAGGUGCUUUCCAUCUUUGAGAGCUAUUACGGUAUUUUUACCUAUUGCUUGGGUCAAGAGUUCCAUGUUUCCGUUCACCAUGGGAAUUCAACAAGUCAGGACCUUUCACCCCUGGUUGGCGGACGGAAUACAUAAAGUUAAGAGCUUGGAGGAAAAAGUCAGACCGCACAUGGAGUACGUCAGUAGUGGAGUGGAAAGCUCGGUCGAAGAUCGAACGUCUUCUAGCGAGGUUUUGUAGAGCUAUGCGUUACUUCCUGACCAGAUGCAUUCCCACUGACAGAGUGCUCAAUGAAUUCCAUCUUCAUGGUCAAGCAACUCGAUUAGAAGGUAUCACAAAACUGAAACGUCUUCUAGCGAGGUUUCAGAGAGAUUUCCUCUCCACUACUUCCGUACUCCAUGGACCGCAUCAAGGAGUUAAAGCGAACAGGCGGAGGAGCGCCAACCAAGUCAAAAGAACUGAGUAGCUUUAAGGCUCAAGUUUUGGAUGAGGCCGGAGAUAACACCGAAUUAGAAUCACGUUUUGAUUCGGAAACACAAUUUGACCUCGUCCUAAACAACAAGACCUCGAAAACGAACUUCUGAGUUGACAACAUCUCAAAGGACCGACCCUUUUCCACGCCCAUUGACAAAUCAAAACGAAAUACAGCCAGAGGAGCCCCAAAUUCAACGUGAACCACAAUCAGGACCUUUGCCACUCAACCAAUGUCAAUUUCAAGAUAAGGCCUGCUUCCCAGAAAUCUCUUCAGCUAGUCUAAUCUUUGCGGAGGACGACGAACUGAUGCCGUUUCAUUUUGGGUAAGACAAUGAAACAAACAAAACGAAAUAUAGUGUUGAAAACGAGAGUGAUCAAAACAUUGAACCAGCAACAGCCAGCAUUGAAAGUAAGUAAUUGUCACCGAGUUAAAGGAAUACAAGCAUUGAAACUUGUCAAGUUUUCUUUUUUCUUAGGCCAAGAUACCACGGUUUCCUUUGACUUGACUACAGGUCAAAGACUUAUCCUACAAGAACAGUUCAACGACACGAUCAAUGUUACCCUACCCCCAUCUACGCCUGCCAGAUCUCGUUCUGCAAGUCCAAAUGACGAAACCACUCAAGACCAUUUACCCACUCGCGGCCGAGGUGGGAGCAGGGGCCGCAAUCGAGGCCGAGGCAAUAGGCGAGCCAAAGCAUCAUCAACUAUAGCGGGGCAUUUCAUUGAAAAUCGAGGAAUAAUGGAGGCUAACUUUUUAAGCAAUCAGCACAAGAUAAAACAAGAGAUUCUGGAAUUGGAAAUACAAGCUGCUGUAAUGUACAAAAACACCCUAGAGAAAAAAGCCACAGACGAAAAAUGCCAAUUCAAUAGCCGAUUUCCACACGAAGUCAAAUUGUUCGAUAUUGUACGGAAAAAUGCGGCCGACUUCGUUGACCUCGAGGUGAUGUCUUCAAAAUUUCGGGUUCGUCGAGAAAGAGCGUUGACAAUCAAGGCGGAGAAAGAAGCGGGAUUGGAUCCAAAGACUACAGGGUAGCUACAAACUUCGCCGGCGAUAAGUUUCAGCACUUGUAAAUCCACUGUGGCUCAAAUUGGCAAGUUGGAUUGGCCUCCAAUUUUUGGAGGAAAAGCGCUCCUAAGGAUCAUAUAAAAAUGUGGAGGCACUCGAAAGAGGAUUAAAGGCUGCUUGGGAAAUAUCACCAUUAAAGCUGUGCUCGCCACAGUGACAGGAGUUUCAAAACGUAUCAAUCAAAUUGUCCGUGCAAAAGGAGGUCAAAUGAAUAAUUUUACAAACAAGAAAGGUUAAUGGCAGUUCUAACAUCACCAUAAAAAUUUUGAUGCAUGCAUCAAACGUUUUUUAUGCACUAUUUGCAUUUCUAAUUGCCGGGGUAUUAUGUGGCAGCCUAACGUGCCACAGUGAAUGGAGUUUCAAAACGUAUCAGUCAAAUUGUUCGUGGAAAAGGAGGCCAAAUGUAUAAUUUUGCUAAUAAGAAAGGUUGAUGACAGUUCAAACAUCAUCAUAAAAAAGUUUGAUGAAUGUAUCUGAUAUUGUUUUAGAACUAUUUACAUUUCUAAGUGCCAGUGUACCUUGUGGCAGCCCUGUAGUUUUGAUAACCAUCUGUUGCCGUAGUUUCAUAUACUUUUUUUGAGUUCGUCGUAGGACAGCACUGAGUUCUUCAUAAUAACUAUUUGUUAGCCCCUAACAGCUUAGAAUAUUAGGUCAUUUGAUUUGUUUGGUCUUCCAUGUAUGUAUUUCUUGGCCAUUGGCACUGACUUUCAAAGCUCUCGAACAUGCCUUCAAGGUUAUUUCUGAGAUAAUCUGCUUAUCUUUGUCUGAAAUUUUUCUCUAUGCUUUUAUCAAAACAAAAUACAGGCGAAGU